AUUUUUUCUCAUAUUAAGAGUGCAAUGACAUUAGAUUUCUAAGAAAAAGAAGGAUGGUAAGAAAAACUCAAACCAAAAUUAAUGUACCUCCUCAUUAGGCUGUGUUGAAAGCUCAAACAAUGUUCUAAUUGCCAUCAACUUUAGCAAAUGCAUAGGGUGUUAUUUCUUUUGCAGGGCUAAAUAGGAAUUGUAUCACAGCGAUAGCGUAGCUGAAUAAACCAA
rnacentral:misc_RNA from 1 species